AUCUUUGCGCUUGGGGCAAUGACGCAGCUAGUGAGGUUCUAACCGAGGCGCGUCUAUUGCUGGUUGAAAACUAUUUCCAAACCCCCUCUUAGGCCUGAGUUUAUCUUAGGCCUUCGAGAAUUUCUGGAAGGGCUCCCUUUGGGGUAAAGCC
rfam:Glycine soja cultivar W05 scaffold2700_5, whole genome shotgun sequence.